UGGACAAAUUAUUUUAUUCGACUGUAUUCACGGCAUGAAACAUGGGAUUACACUGUUUUUAAAACGGAAAGUGAAUCAAUUAACAUAAUAGACUCCU
rnacentral:pre_miRNA from 1 species